rnacentral:lncRNA from 1 species
UAACAAUCUAAGAGGUAAGUGAAAUUUGCAAUCAACCUGUUUACAAAAAAAGCAGCAACGUUCAAACAGAAAAUCUGCAUCAAGCUUGAAGCAUUAACAUUUUAUUUCACUCACAUCUUUGUAAACAUAAAAAGCAGCCUGGCAGGCAAAGAAGCCCAAGUCUCUGACAAAGCUUCUGCGUUAAAGAUCCUUCAGUAUUUCAAGCAAAAACAAACCCUGCAUGUUGUGGGCUUACACUGUGAUAUGGGCUAAUUUGAAUUCAGACAAACUGGAUAGGGAUACAGAUUUUAUCUGAAGUUUCCAAGUCAAGCCUAUUUCUAUUUAUGACACACAUUUCAAUUCAUUUAUGACCCUGGUUGCUGUGACAGUCACACAACUCAGAGUACACACACAACCUGUUUGAAUAAGCUUAGCAAUUUAUCUGAGAAGCUCAAAAGAGCCAAGAACAUAUCACUGGUAAACAUUACAUCACCUAUACUGCACAUGACAGACAGGAGAGUUAUAAUAAGGAAGUUGCAGUGAAAUAGGUGCACCUGGAGCAAGAGUUGUUUACCCCACUUGGAAGCGAAAGCUUUUUUCCUGAGCUUGUCUUCCGUGUGACCAAAGAGGGAUACCAAAUCGGCACCCCAGAACAGGGAGAAGCUGCAGGAUGGAGGGGCACGCGAUGCUGCUGGAAUUCUCCAGGAGGUGACCAGGUUGGGAAGCUUUUGUUCUUCUUUAACUAGUGGGUCUGGUCCUGUGGGUGCAACCAAGGAAGAACGGGAACAAGAGCAGCAAUAACGCACCCUCUAGACUGCAGGCCACAGUGUGACUUAGCAGGGGAACUGCUCCCCAACCCUUCUCACUCCUGGCACGUGUCCUCUUAAGUCCUACCUCUUCCCUCUUCCCCAGUACUUGCAGGAGUUUAUGUUAACAGAUUUCUUGACAGGAUGAAGGUAGUGACAUUUACUUCCUCAGAUAUGGUAGGAGGUGUAGGUGCAUGCAGAGAAGUUAUUCUGGGAAUAAAGUCAGCCAUGAGAUUCGGGAAGCUUCCAAAAAUAGGCCCAGGGAGGACUCAAGAGGAAAACGCAGCUAGGAACGACGUAUCCAUCCCCCUUUCUCCCCGUGGCAAUCCGCUGUUUAAAUCUAUGUAUUAUGACUCAGGCAUGUUUUCCAGGCCUGGAAGGCAGCAAAGGUGAGGGAGACCUUAGCUGCACAGAACUAGAAGAGAAACACAGGAGCCAUCUGGACAAUUUGAGGCAAACCUCCCUCCAGCUGGCUCACAAACUGAAGGCCCAUCAGCUCCAGCAGAAACAGCAACUGGCAGCGCUGAGUGAGAAAGCAAAGCUAGAGGUUCAAGAAAGCCAGAGGUCUUUGAAUGACCUGCUUCAGCACGAUUUAGAGGAGGGCAGUAGUUCCAAAGCUGAUUAUUCUUCUGUGCCAAGACUCGACCAUGCAAAGCAAAAGCAGGGAGGAUAUCAGUCGGAAGGCGACAACGCAGCUGGCGAGAGUCAUCGGGAGAGGCCGGCGCUGGGACGAUCUGCACCGUCCGUAGGAAGCGACCAGGGUCCGACGGGUCCCAAAACAGCGGGACGCAGCAGGUCUCUGGGAGGAAGAGGUUCGUGUCGCUCAGCGCUUCGAGAAGGGGGCCCCCCGCCGGCAGGACUUGGUGGCGCCGGGCAAACGGCAACGGGCUUUCCGGCACGGCGUGCGCAGCAGUGCCGCGUGCCGGGCCUGGAUCACAGAUUUCAC